AUUGAACGCUAGCGGGAUGCUUUACACAUGCAAGUCGAACGAGUGGCGGACGGGUGAGUAAUAUCUCGGAACGUGCCCAGUAGCGGGGGAUAACUACUCGAAAAAGUGGCUAAUACCGCAUAUUCUUUGAGCGGCCGUUAUCGGAUUAGCUAGUUGGUGGGGUAAAGGCUCACCAAAGCAACGAUCCGUAGCUGGUUUGCGAGGACGACCAGCCAUAAUGGGACUGAGACACGGCCCAGACGCCUACGUGAGGCAGCAGUGGGGAAUUUUGGACAAUGGGGGAAACCCUGAUGCAGCCAUCCCGCGUGUAUGAGAAGGCCUUCGGGUUGUAGAGUACUUUUGGCAGAGAAGCGGUAUCUGCAGAAUAAGCACCGGCUAACUACGUGCCAGCAGCCGCGGUAAUUC
rnacentral:rRNA from 1 species